GCCCCCGUAGCUCAGUUGGACCAGAGCGCCGUACUUAUACACAGUAUCGGAGCAAUGCGGAUGUCGUGAGUUCGAGCCUCACCGGGGGCA
rnacentral:tRNA from 1 species